rnacentral:rRNA from 1 species
AUUGAACGCUGGCGGCAGGCCUAACACAUGCAAGUCGAGCGGAGCGGCGGACGGGUGCGUAAUGCCUAGAAAUCUGCCUGGUAGUGGGGGAUAACGUCCGGAAACGGGCGCUAAUACCGCAUACUCUAAGAUGAGCCUAGGUGGGAUUAGCUAGUUGGUGGGGUAAAGGCCUACCAAGGCGACGAUCCGUAACUGGUCUGAGAGGAUGAGCAGUCACACUGGAACUGAGACACGGUCCAGACUCCUACGGGAGGCAUGAGUGGAGAAUAUUGGACAAUGGGCGAAAGCCUGAUCCAGCCAUGCCGCGUGUGUGAAGAAGUUCUUCGGCUUGUAAAGCACUAUAAGUUGGGAGGAGGUACCAACAGAAUAAGCACCGGCUAACUCCGUGCCAGCAGCCGCGGUAAUAC